rnacentral:rRNA from 1 species
AGUGAACGCUGGCGGUAGGCCUAACACAUGCAAGUCGAACGGCAGCACAGUAAGAGCUUGCCCUUACGGGUGGCGAGUGGCGGACGGGUGAGGCAUACAUCGGAAUCCACUUUUUCUUGGGGGAUAACGUAGGGCAACUUCUGCUAAUACCGCAUACUAUCUACGGGUGAAAUCAAGGGAUCUUCGGACCUUGCCUGACUGAAUUAGCCGAUGUCGGAUUAGCUAGUUGGCAGGGUAAAGGCCCACCAAGGCGACGCUCCGUAGCUGGUCUGAGAGGAUGAUCAGCCACACUGGAACUGAGACACGGUCCAGACUCCUACGGGAGGCAGCAGUGGGGAAUAUUCGACAAUGGGCGCAAGCCUGAUCCAGCCAUGCCGCGUGAGUGAAGAAGGCCUUCGGAUUGUAAAACCCUUUUGUUAGGAAAGAAAAGCAGCAGGAUAAUCCCCCGCUGUUCUGACGGUACCCAAAGAGUAAGCACCGGCUAACUUCGUG